CAGUCGCCGCGGGAAUACGAAGGGUGCAAGCGUUACUCGGAAUUACUGGGCGUAAAGAGUGCGUAGGUGGUGGUUUAAGUCCGUUGUGAAAGCCCUGGGCUCAACCUGGGAAUUGCAGUGGAUACUGGGUCACUAGAGUGUGGUAGAGGAUAGUGGAAUUUCCGGUGUAGCAGUGAAAUGCGUAGAGAUCGGAAGGAACAUCUGUGGCGAAGGCGACUAUCUGGGCCAACACUGACACUGAGGCACGAAAGCGUGGGGAGCAAACAGGAUUAGAUACCCCUGUAGUCCCUGUCUCUUAUAC
rnacentral:rRNA from 1 species